rnacentral:rRNA from 1 species
UACGGGGGGGGCAAGCGUUGUUCGGAAUUACUGGGCGUAAAGGGCUCGUAGGUGGCCAACUAAGUCAGACGUGAAAUCCCCAGGCUCAACUUGGGAACUGCGUCUGAUACUGGAUGGCUUGAAUCCGGGAGAGGUGAGUGGAACUGCGAGUGUAGAGGUGAAAUUCGUAGAUAUUCGCAAGAACACCAGUGGCGAAGGCGGCUCACUGGCCCGGUACUGACGCUGAGGUGCGAAAGCGUGGGGAGCAAACAGG